rnacentral:tRNA from 1 species
AUAUAUGUAGAUCAAUGGUAGAGUGCAUGCUUAGCAUGCACGCCAUGCGAUCCUGGGUUCAAUCCCCAGCAUUUCUG